CGAACCUUCUGCCCUAUUCCAGCCACGAUCUCCAACAGGUAAGUUUAUUUCUCCCCCUCUUUUUUCCCAAGCAUACUAGAGCGUAAGGCGAUGGUCGUUGCUUGGUCACGCCGGCUUUUCUUGCACAGCACGCACGGAUCUCCGACCCCCUAUAUGCUGCUUUCUGGCCUUGGUGGCCGCUGUCGGCCGAAGGAUCGUUGCCGACCGCCUGGCGACGCUGGCUUGCCGGUUGCCGCCUCCCCUGUGAUGCCUCGGGGGCUGCUAUCGGUCUCCUUCUGCCGUCUGCAACUGCUGCCGGGCCAGAUAGCCACUAAUGGCCACUGUCGCCCGCUUGGCGACAUUGCCUUGCUGGAUGUCGGCCCCCUGUGACGCCUAGGGGGGCUGCUGCUGGUCUCGUGCUGCCAUUGGCAGUCCCUGCUGGCUCCUAGUUGCUGCUACCGACCCCGGUUGUCGUUGCCAGUUCUUGUCGGCUGCUGCUUUCCGUUUGUACACCGACGUGGUUUAAUUUGGAGAGACGCUCAUUGUUGUUCUCCUUUGUCAGCUUCUGCUAGUUCUGAUAUUGAGAGGUCUGAGCCGUCUGUUGGUAGUGAUUUCAAUUUAUGGCUAUAGGCGAGUGGGGGGCCAAAAAGGGGAGGAAAGAUAUUCGGAAUGGGUUCAUUGAGCAGAACCCAUAGAGUUGGUCGUAUAUCUUCUUCUUCCUCCUCACAUACCUGGCAGAUGCAUAACUUGACUGAAGAGGUUUCCCAGUUGAAGGGCAUUAUAAAGAACAAGGAUGAAGAAAUGAGAGAAAUGCGCCGACAACAAGAUUUUAUUAUGCGGCAUCUUCAGUUAAGUUCUGUUCCAAGUCAUAUUCCUUCCGGUGACGGUGAUGAUGGUGAUGAUGGUGAUGAUGAUAAUGGCGGUGGUGGUGAUUCUUGAUAAAUUUAUGGAAAAAAAGCACGGAAGGUGACCGAAGCUCCUGAGACAUGAUGAUAUGUAUUUUAUUUUCUUUUGGAUGUCUUGUUACAUUUGUUGUUUGGAUUAUUUUAGAACUUUCAUGUUUGAUAUUAUGAGUUGUUGAACUUAUUUGGAUUUUGGUUAGUUGUAUAUAUGAAUAUGAUGUGUUUAGUUUUGGGAUGAUUUGAUUGGAUAUAAGAUAUAUGGAUUAUGGAUGUGUAGGAUAUGAUGUGUUUAGUUUUGAGAUGAUUUUUUUGGAUGUCGUA